CCUACGGGAGGCAGCAGUGAGGAAUAUUGGUCAAUGGACGAGAGUCUGAACCAGCCAAGUAGCGUGAAGGAUGACUGCCCUAUGGGUUGUAAACUUCUUUUAUAUGGGAAUAAAAUGUUCCACGUGUGGGCUUUUGUAUGUACCAUAUGAAUAAGGAUCGGCUAAAUCCGUGCCAGCAGCCGCGGUAAUACGGAGGAUCCGAGCGUUAUCCGGAUUUAUUGGGUUUAAAGGGAGCGUAGGUGGAGUGUUAAGUCAGUUGUGAAAGUUUGCGGCUCAACCGUACAAUUGCAGUUGAAACUGGCAGUCUUGAGUACAGUAGAGGUGGGCGGAAUUCGUGGUGUAGCGGUGAAAUGCUUAGAUAUCACGAAGAACUCCGAUUGCGAAGGCAGCUCACUGGACUGCAACUGACACUGAGGCUCGAAAGUGUGGGUAUCAAACAGGAUUAGAUACCCUUGUAGUC
rnacentral:rRNA from 1 species